AUUGAACGCUGGCGGCAGGCUUAACACAUGCAAGUCGAACGAGUGGCGGACGGGUGAGUAAUGCUUGGGAAUCUGGCUUAUGGAGGGAGAUAACUACGGGAAACUGUAGCUAAUACCGCGUACCAUAGGAUGAGCCCAAGUGGGAUUAGGUAGUUGGGGGGGUAAAGGCUCCCAAAGCCGACGAUCUCUAGCUGGUCUGAGAGGAUGACCAGCCACACUGGCACUGAGACACGGCCCAGACUCCUGCGGGAGGCAGCAGUGGGGAAUAUUUCGCAAUGGGGGCAACCUGACGCAGCCAUGCCGCGUGAAUGAAGAAGGCCUUCGGGUUGUAAAGUUCUGUCGGUAGCGAGGCGUUAUCUACAGAAGAAGCACCGGCUAACUCCGUGCCAGCAGCCGCGGUAAUUC
rnacentral:rRNA from 1 species